GGCUUCAUAGCUCAAUUGGUGAGAGCGUCACAUCGGUAUCGCGAGGUCACGAAUUCAAAUCUCGUUGAAAUCA
rnacentral:tRNA from 1 species